CUACGGGUCGCACCAGUGAGGAAUUUUGCGCAAUGGGGGCAACCCUGACGCAGCAACGCCGCGUGAGUGAUGAAGGCCUUCGGGUCGUAAAACUCUUUUCUUGAGGAAGAAUAAUGACGGUACUCAAGGAAUAAGCCCCGGCUAAUUACGUGCCAGCAGCCGCGGUAAUACGUAAGGGGCAAGCGUUAUCCGGAAUCACUGGGCGUAAAGGGUGCGUAGGUGGGUAGGUAAGUCAGAAGUGAAAGGCAUUGGCUCAACCAAUGUAAGCUUUUGAAACUGCUUAACUUGAGUGCAGGAGAGGAAAGUGGAAUUCCUAGUGUAGCGGUGAAAUGCGUAGAUAUUAGGAGGAACACCAGUGGCGAAGGCGACUUUCUGGACUGUUACUGACACUGAGGCACGAAAGCGUGGGGGGCGAACAGGAUUAGAUACCCCUGUAGUC
rnacentral:rRNA from 1 species